GACGAACGCUGGCGGCGUGCUUAACACAUGCAAGUCGAACGGAAAGGCCCUGCUUUUGCGGGGUGCUCGAGUGGCGAACGGGUGAGUAACACGUGAGUAACCUGCCCUUGACUUUGGGAUAACUUCAGGAAACUGGGGCUAAUACCGGAUAGGAGCUCCUGCUGCAUGGUGGGGGUUGGAAAGUUUCGGCGGUUGGGGAUGGACUCGCGGCUUAUCAGCUUGUUGGUGGGGUAGUGGCUUACCAAGGAUUUGACGGGUAGCCGGCCUGAGAGGGUGACCGGCCACAUAGGGACUGGGAUACGGCCAAGACUCCUACGGGAGGCAGCAGUGGGGAAUAUUGCACAAUGGGCGGAGGCCGGAUGCAGCAACGCCGGGUGCGGGAUGACGGCCUUCGGGUUGUAAACCGCUUUCGCCUGUGACGAAGCGUGAGUGACGGUAAUGGGUAAAGAAGCACCGGCUAACUACGU
rnacentral:rRNA from 1 species